rnacentral:rRNA from 1 species
CAGCCGCCGCGGUAAUACGUAGGGUGCGAGCGUUAAUCGGAAUUACUGGGCGUAAAGCGUGCGCAGGCGGUUUUGUAAGACAGGCGUGAAAUCCCCGGGCUUAACCUGGGAAUGGCGCUUGUGACUGCAAGGCUAGAGUGCGUCAGAGGGGGGUAGAAUUCCACGUGUAGCAGUGAAAUGCGUAGAGAUGUGGAGGAAUACCGAUGGCGAAGGCAGCCCCCUGGGACGAGACUGACGCUCAUGCACGAAAGCGUGGGGAGCGAACAGGAUUAGAUACCCCAGUAGUCCCUGUCUCUUAUAC